GUGCUCACUUCGGCAGCUCACAUAUUAAAAUUGGAACGAUACAGAGAAAAUGUGAAUGGCCUCUGCGCAAGGAAGAUGUGCAAAUUUGUGAAGCAUUCCAUAUUUUG
ensembl:snRNA U6 U6 spliceosomal RNA